rnacentral:lncRNA from 1 species
GUAACGGAUCUCUGGGGUCUGCUUUCCUUGGAUGUGUUCAAGUAUAUGGCCUUUAUGGUUCCCUGCUCCCCAGCCACGGUACCCUCCCUGCCCGAUGUAUCUUGAUUGCUCACCUGUCCCCGAGGUCUUCUUAAUCUUCUCCAGUGGGCACGGGCAGUUGUCAGCAGCCAGAGAAUGGAGAAAAUUGUCAAGGGAGCUGUAAGGAGCCAGGUUCUCCCUCUUUGCAUAAGGUAGUCCCAAAGGUGGCCCAGGAUGCCAGGCAAGCUGUAGGCCUUCUGCUUGGUGCCUGGGGACUGCUGCUUUGGGCCUUGUGGAACAGCAACUUUGCUGCCCUUGUACCAGACCCAUAUGGGACACUGGGAAGAGCCAAGCAAGCAGGACCAGUAUGAGGUUUGGCUCUUGGUUUUCUCUGUAUGCUGCUCCUCAGGAAGGACCUGGUUUGUGUUCGUGUCCUUGGUCCUGAUGGGGCAGGAUGUCAGGCCAAACUAGCAGCGCCAGGUGGAGGUCUGGCUCUUGGUCUCCUCUGUACGCUGCUCCUCAGGAAGGGCCUGGUUGUCCUUCCUGUCCUCGAUCCUGGUGGGGAAGGAGGUUAGGCCAAACCAGGAGUGCCGGCUGGAGGUCUGGCUUUUGGUUUCCUCCAUGGCCUGCUCCUCAGGAAGGACCUGGUUUGUCUUCGUGUCCUCGAUCCUGACAGGGCAGGACGUUAGGCCCAUGCAGCAGCGCCAGGUGGAGGUCUGGCUGUUGGUCUCCUCCACAGGCUGCUCCUCAGGAAGGACUGGAUUGUUCUUCCUGUCCUCGAUCCUGACGGGGCAGGAGGUUAGGCCAAACUAGCAGAGGCUGGUGGAGGUCUGGCUGUUGGUCUCCUCCACAGGCUGCUCCUCAGGAAGGGCCUGGUUGUCCUUCCUGUCCUCGAUUCUGGUGGGGCAGGAGGUUAGGCCAAACCAGGAGUGCCGGAUGGAGGUCUGGCUUUUGGUCUCCUCCAUGGCCUGCUCCUCAGGAAGGACCUGGUUUGUCUUCGUGUCCUCAAUCCUGACAGGGCAAGACAUUAG